AACGAACGCUGGCGGCAGGCUUAACACAUGCAAGUCGAGCGCAUCCUUCGGGGUGAGCGGCGGACGGGUGAGUAACGCGUGGGAACGUGCCCUCUUCUACGGAAUAGCCUCGGGAAACUGAGAGUAAUGCCGUAUACGCCCGCAAGGGGAAAGAUUUAUCGGAGGAGGAUCGGCCCGCGUUGGAUUAGGUAGUUGGUGGGGUAACGGCCUACCAAGCCGACGAUCCAUAGCUGGUUUGAGAGGAUGAUCGGCCACACUGGGACUGAGACACGGCCCAGACUCCUACGGGAGGCAGCAGUGGGGAAUCUUGGACAAUGGGGGCAACCCUGAUCCAGCCAUGCCGCGUGAUCGAUGAAGGCCUUAGGGUUGUAAAGAUCUUUCAGCUGGGAAGAUAAUGACGGUACCAGCAGAAGAAGCCCCGGCUAACUCCGUG
rnacentral:rRNA from 1 species